rnacentral:rRNA from 1 species
GACGAACGCUGGCGGCGUGCUUAACACAUGCAAGUCGAACGGUGAAGCACCUUCCUUUUGGUGGGUGUGGAUGAGUGGCGAACGGGUGAGUAACACGUGAGUAACCUGCCCCCUUCUUCUGGAUAACCGCAUGAAAGUGUGGCUAAUACGGGAUAUUCUGGGUCUGUCGCAUGGCGGGCCUGGGAAAGAUAUUGUUUCGGUGGGGGAUGGGCUCGCGGUCUAUCAGCUUGUUGGUGGGGUGAUGGCCUACCAAGGCGGUGACGGGUAGCCGGCCUGGGAGGGUGGACGGUCACACUGGGACUGAGACACGGCCCAGACUCCUACGGGAGGCAGCAGUGGGGAAUAUUGCACAAUGGGCGCAAGCCUGAUGCAGCGACGCCGCGUGAGGGAUGGAGGCCUUCGGGUUGUAAACCUCUUUCGCCAGUGAAGCAGGCCUGUCCCUUUUGUGGGUGGGUUGACGGUAGCUGGAUAAGAAGCGCCGGCUAACUACGUG